rnacentral:rRNA from 1 species
UGAUGACGAGACGCUAAGGCGUUGAAGUGGUGUAUGUCAGACUUCCAAGAAAAGCUCGCAAUGUCAUAGAUAAAAAAUGCCUGUACCAUAACCGACACAGGUGGGUAGGUAGAGUAUACUAAGGGGCGCGAGAUAACUCUCUCUAAGGAACUCGGCAAAAUGACUCCGUAACUUCGGGAGAAGGAGUGCCUUAUUUAUAAGGUUGCAAUAACAAGAUCCAAGCAACUGUUUAUCAAAAACACAGGUCUCCGCUAAGUCGUAAGACGAUGUAUGGGGGCUGACGCCUGCCCAGUGCCAGAAGGUUAAAGAAGUUGGUUAGUGUAAGCGAAGCUGAUAACUGAAGCCCUGGUGAACGGCGGCCGUAACGAUAACGGUCCUAAGGUAGCGAAAUUCCUUGUCGGGUAAGUUCCGACCCGCACGAAAGGCGUAAUGAUUUGGAUACUGUCUCGGAGAGAGGCUCGGUGAAAUAGACUUGUCUGUGAAGAUGCGGACUACCUGCACCAGGACAGAAAGACCCUAUGAAGCUUUACUGUAACUUGAAAUUGGAAUUGGACUUUGCUUGCGCAGUAUAGGUGGGAAGCGUUGAAGAUACUCUUGCGGGACUAUUGGAGCUAUCAGUGAGAUACCACUCUUGUAAUGUUAGAUUUCUAACUUUGAACCAUAAUCUGGUCAAAGAACAGUUUCAGGCGGGCAGUUUGACUGGGGCGGUCGCCUCCUAAAUGGUAACGGAGGCGUACAAAGGUUUCCUCUGAACGGAUAGAAAUCGUAUCUAGAGUGUAAAGGCAUAAGGAAGCUUGACUGUGAGACCUACAAGUCGAGCAGGGACGAAAGUCGGUCUUAGUGAUCUGACGGUACUGAGUGGAAAGGCCGUCACUCAACGGAUAAAAGUUACUCUAGGAUAACAGGCUGAUCUCCCCCAAGAGUUCACAUCGACGGGGAGGUUUGGCACCUCGAUGUCGGCUCAUCGCAUCCUGGGGCGGUAGUACGUCCCAAGGGUUGGGCUGUUCGCCCAUGAAAGCGGUACGCGAGCUGGGUUCAGAACGUCGUGAGACAGUUCGGUCCAUAUCCGGUGUAGGCGUUAGAAUAUUGAGAGGAGCCUUCUUUAGUACGAGAGGACCGAGAAGGACACACCGCUGGUGUACCAGUUAUCGUGCCAACGGUAAACGCUGGGUAGCUAUGUGUGGAGAGGAUAACCGCUGAAAGCAUCUAAGUGGGAAGCCCACCUCAAGAUGAGUAUUCUCAUC